rnacentral:rRNA from 1 species
CAGACUGCAGGCUGCAACUCGCCUGCACGAAGCUGGAAUCGCUAGUAAUCGCGGAUCAGCACGCCGCGGUGAAUACGUUCCCGGGCCUUGUACACACCGCCCGUCACACCAUGGGAGCCGGAAAUGCCCGAAGUCCGUAGCCUAACCGCAAGGGGGCGCGGCCGAAGGUGGGUUCGAUAAUUGGGGUGAAGUCGUAACAAGGUACC